rnacentral:sRNA from 1 species
CUGAAAGGUGCUCAGCUGACAUCCCCACAGUCUCUCCAUGAAAAGUACAGCACAGGCAGCAGCAAUACAAACUUCCCCAAAGUUCUCCACCAACAUACCUCAGCUGUGACGCAGGGAGACUUACCUCUAGAAGUGUGAGGUUCAUGCAGUCUCCACACUCAUUCAGUCCUUGGCUCAU